rnacentral:lncRNA from 1 species
CAGGGUUAGGGCCGGCGGUUUUGCAGCUCACCUGGGGAGGCCAGCAGCACCUUCGCCCCGCAGCAUUGAAAGCAGUGCAGCAGAGACUUGGCACGAAUGUUGUAGUUGAGGCACGCCAUGGGACAGCCCAGUUUGAGCAGUCCCAGCCAGAUCCACACGUAGGCCGGCUCAUUGCCCAUGAAGAGGGCUACGCAAUCCCCCUGUCGUAGGCCCAGUUGAUCGUGCAGCGCCCGCGCCACUUGGUUGCUGCGCCGGUCCACCUGGGCGUAGGUGAGCGUCUCGUCUCGGAACAGCAGGAAGGGCUUGUGUGGGGUCUUGCGCGCUUGUUCCAGGAAGGCCCGCAGGAUGGUACGCACGGGUCGCCGCUGCCGGUAGCUGCGCACCCGCCGGGCCAUGUUGGCCAGCCGCAGGAAGUACCGCACAUCUUGGAGGAGGUAGGGGCAGCAGCAGGUUCUCCAUAUUGUAGUCACAUCUGAGGACCUAGAGCUAGUGGCUGCCAGCAGGAAGUCAUGCUACUUGGGCUGGUAAUCCUUCCCACAAGAACCACAGACUAACAGAAAUCCCAGAACCAGGCAUGAGAAACCUCCCUCAAAUAGUUGGUCAGAGUAGCCCAAGUGACUCUCCAAACGGUAAAUGUAGCUACCACGUCUAUCAAAGAAGCUUCUCUUUACAGCGAAUGGAAAGCACAACUGGACAUAAGGCAGAGAUCAGUGGUUGGUGGGGGCCAAACGGCUACAUCCGCAGCACGGCACCUGCAUCUUUGACUCAGGGGACAUAGCAGAGGAGAUCUGAAAGAUUGAAAGAGCUGGAACAUCAGGGAGUCUGCUGAAAGACUAUCUUUUCAGAAUGCUGAAAAUAAAACUCCUAUGUGACUCAGCUGUUCUGCCCCCAUGAACAUACCCAAGGAACUCCACAUCCUACAGAGAUAUUUAUUUACGGUUACUACUGCACUAUUCACAAACCACAAGGAAAUGGAAGCAGCUUAGAUGCCCAUACACAGUGAAAACGUAGUCCAUAUCCACAAUGGGAUUUUAUUCAGCUAUAAAGAUAAGCGCCUUCCAAUCCUAUUCAAAGAAGCUUCUCUUUACACCAAUGCGGACCGUUACAGAGCACCACAGCUGGACAUAAGAGGGAGACAAUGGUUCCCGGGAACCCGAGUGCCCGUGGGCAGAGCAUCAUCACAGCUCCUGCAUCUCUGGCCCAGGAAACACAGAGGAAGAGGUGGUGGGAAGACUACCAGGAAGUCUGCCAUGAGACUGUCUCUCAUAGAAAUGGCUGCACAAACAGGACCAGAACAACGGGCAGUAUCAGGUGAAAUGGUAACGUGGAAGCCGGUAAUCUCAUGCCGUUCAUUUCCUAGGCAAAGACCCACAGACAAUAAUUGCUAAGAGAGUGAAAAUUAGCUUCUCCCUGAGACGAUCCCCCGGAGAUAGCCACCCCGAAGUCACACCCUCACAAUCAACACACACAGCCGCAGCAGACUGUACUUACAUAUCUGCAUGUCUCAAUAGUCAUCAAAGAAAAAGAGGCUGUCCAUUUGAGAGCAAGGGAGGGGACAGUGAAAGGGUUGGAGGCAGGGGACGCGGGAGGGGUUGGAGAGAGGUUAGGAAAAGCAGGGAGUGAUGCAAUUACCCUUUGAUUAAAAUGGAUUAAACUUAAUAUAGUAAAGUAAUUCUACCCUCUGCCUGUCAGGGCACACUGUGUACCUUUUCCUGAAACUCACCAAACCCAUUCGUUUCUGCAUAAACGUCUUAUAUUUCCUCUUUGCAAGAACAAUCACUUAAGCACAUUUUAUUAUUUUUUUCUCAUUUUUAUUUUGUUGUGCAAAAAAAUAUUUUCAUUCUGAAUUCCUUUUAUUUGUGUUUCUAACAACCAGUUUUGGCUGGAUAGGAAUGUUUGUUGGUUUUUUGAUGAGAGAAUAAAGUUAAAAAUUUCAAAG